rnacentral:rRNA from 1 species
UACAGAGGGGGCUAGCGUUGUUCGGAAUCACUGGGCGUAAAGGGCGCGUAGGCGGUCGGAUAAGCGUGCGGUGAAAGCCCGGGGCUCAACCCCGGGUCGGCCGUGCGGACUGUUCGACUGGAGCACUGUAGAGGCAGGUGGAAUUCCGGGUGUAGCGGUGGAAUGCGUAGAGAUCCGGAAGAACACCGGUGGCGAAGGCGGCCUGCUGGGCAGUUGGCUGACGCUGAGGCGCGACAGCGUGGGGAGCAAACAGG